CCUACGGGAGGCAGCAGUGGGGAAUAUUGCGCAAUGGGCGAAAGCCUGACGCAGCGACGCCGCGUGAGGGAUGAAGGUCUUCGGAUCGUAAAACCCUGUUUGUAGGGAAGAAAGGUCCCUGUGGUAACCAGUAGUGUAUCUACGGUACCUACAAAGAAAGCCUCGGCUAACUCCGUGCCAGCAGCCGCGGUAAUACGGAGGAGGCUAUCUUUAGUCGGAUUUAGUGGGCGUAAAGGGGUCGUAGGCGGUAUGUCAAGUCAGGGGUGAAAUCCUUGCGCUCAACGUGAGAAGUGCCUUUGAAACUGGCAGACGUGAGUGUGUGAGAGGAUGGUGGAAUUCGAGGUGUAGGGGUGAAAUGCGUAGAUAUCUGGAAGAACACCAGUGGCGAAGGCGGCUAUCUGGCACAUAACUGACGCUGAGGAACGAAAGCGUGGGUAGCAAACAGGAUUAGAUACCCUAGUAGUC
rnacentral:rRNA from 1 species